rnacentral:rRNA from 1 species
GAUGAACGCUGACAGAAUGCUUAACACAUGCAAGUCAACUGUGGCGGACGGGUGAGUAACGCGUAAAGAACUUGCCACACAGAUAGGGACAACAUUUGGAAACGAAUGCUAAUACCUGAAACUGUGAGAGAGCUUUGCGUCCCAUUAGCUAGUUGGAGAGGUAACGGCUCACCAAGGAGAGGAUGGGUAGCCGGCCUGAGAGGGUGAUCGGCCACACGGGGACUGGGAAACGGCCCUUACUCCUUCGGGAGGCAGCAGUGUUGAAUAGUGGACAAUGGACCAAAGUCUGAUCCAGCAAUUCUGGGUGCACGAGUAAGUUUUCAGAAUGUAAAGUGCGUUCAGUUUUGAAGCGGUACCAACAGAAGAAGUGACGGCUAAAUACGUGCCAGCAGCCGCGGUAAUUC